UACGGAGGAUGCAAGCGUUAUCCGGAAUGAUUGGGCGUAAAGCGUCCGCAGGUGGCAAUGUAAGUCUGCUGUUAAAGAGUCUAGCUCAACUAGAUACAAGCAGUGGAAACUACAUAGCUAGAGUACGUUCGGGGCAGAGGGAAUUCCUGGUGUAGCGGUGAAAUGCGUAGAGAUUAGGAAGAACACCGGUGGCGAAGGCGCUCUGCUAGGCCGUAACUGACACUGAGGGACGAAAGCUAGGGGAGCGAAUGGG
rnacentral:rRNA from 1 species